rnacentral:rRNA from 1 species
AUAUUGGACAAUGGACGAAAAGUCUGAUCCAGCCAUGCCGCGUGCAGGAUGAAAGCCCUACGGGUUGUAAACUGCUUUUAUACAGGAAGAAACACUCCGACGUGUCGGAGCUUGACGGUACUGUAGAAAUAAGGAUCGGCUAACUCCGUGCCAGCAGCCGCGGUAAUACGGAGGAUCCAAGCGUUAUCCGGAAUCAUUGGGUUUAAAGGGUCCGCAGGCUGUUUUUUAAGUCAGAGGUGAAAUCCUACAGCUCAACUGUAGAACUGCCUUUGAUACUGA